rnacentral:misc_RNA from 1 species
GAAAGCAAGACAGAAUAGGCUCUUACUGCUCUAGAAAGAACUUCCCUUGAAUCAACUGCUAUUGAAGACGGUGCUAUUGAUAUUAGCUGUGGGACUUCGGUGCCUUAAGCGGAAGAGGGGAUUUCUUUCUGGCUGCUACGCUCCUUUCUUAUUCUUUUUUUCUGUCUCUGAAGGUGGAUAAUGGAACUACUGGUCUGCUGCUUUGACUUUUUCUUUUUCAGAGGUCAGCUAGGAAAGGGGGUGGCCACUAUUCUUAGUAGAAGAUGCCAGUUUAGAGGAUCCAGAGAGCUAAGAUUCGAUAACGGAAAUGACUGCUAAGACCCA